rnacentral:rRNA from 1 species
GAUGAACGCUGGCGGCGUGCCUAAUACAUGCAAGUCGAGCGAACAGACGAGGAGCUUGCUCCUCUGACGUUAGCGGCGGACGGGUGAGUAACACGUGGAUAACCUACCUAUAAGACUGGGAUAACUUCGGGAAACCGGAGCUAAUACCGGAUAAUAUAUUGAACCGCAUGGUUCAAUAGUGAAAGACGGUUUUGCUGUCACUUAUAGAUGGAUCCGCGCCGCAUUAGCUAGUUGGUAAGGUAACGGCUUACCAAGGCAACGAUGCGUAGCCGACCUGAGAGGGUGAUCGGCCACACUGGAACUGAGACACGGUCCAGACUCCUACGGGAGGCAGCAGUAGGGAAUCUUCCGCAAUGGGCGAAAGCCUGACGGAGCAACGCCGCGUGAGUGAUGAAGGUCUUCGGAUCGUAAAACUCUGUUAUUAGGGAAGAACAAAUGUGUAAGUAACUAUGCACGUCUUGACGGUACCUAAUCAGAAAGCCACGACUAACUACGUG